rnacentral:rRNA from 1 species
UUAGGAAUCUGCCUAUUAGUGGGGGACAACGUUCCGAAAGGAGCGCUAAUACCGCAUACGUCCUACGGGAGAAAGCAGGGGACCUUCGGGCCUUGCGCUAAUAGAUGAGCCUAAGUCGGAUUAGCUAGUUGGUAGGGUAAAGGCCUACCAAGGCGACGAUCUGUAGCGGGUCUGAGAGGAUGAUCCGCCACACUGGGACUGAGACACGGCCCAGACUCCUACGGGAGGCAGCAGUGGGGAAUAUUGGACAAUGGGGGGAACCCUGAUCCAGCCAUGCCGCGUGUGUGAAGAAGGCCUUUUGGUUGUAAAGCACUUUAAGCGAGGAGGAGGCUACCUGGAUUAAUACUUUAGGAUAGUGGACGUUACUCGCAGAAUAAGCACCGGCUAACUCUGUGCCAGCAGCCGCGGUAAUACAGAGGGUGCGAGCGUUAAUC